UGUGGCCUAGUGGUAAGAGCGUCCGCCUCGGCUGCGGAAGGUUGUGUGUUCUAUCCCCGGCCGUGUCAU